AGAUUUUAACUAAGAAAAACUAAGAACUGUCUCUUAAAUAAGAGAUAUAAGAGUCGUCUCUUAGCCGAAAAGUGUAAAAAAAAAAAAUAGUGUCAAAUCAUGAGAUAAGAACCCCAGUUAAGAGACCAGGGUUAAUCAUGCUCUUAUGUCAUUGUUCUUUAUAUAUAUAAUAAUUAAAUAAUUAAAUAAAUAAAAAAACUAAAAAUAUAAAAAUAACUUUUUAAAUUUUUUUCGAAUUAUACUAUUUUGAAAUUCAAACUCUAAACCCUAAAACUCAACUCUAAACCCUAAAACAUCAAUCAUAAACCCUUUUCUUUUGAAAUAUGAACCCUAAACCCUAAACCAUCAAUCCUAAAACCUACUUUUUUUUUGAAAACCAAACCGUAAACCCUGAAACAUCAACUCUAAACCUUAAACCCAGAAACAUCAACUCUAAACCCUAAACCCUAAACCUUCAACUCUAAACCCUAAACCAUAAACAUUAAACCCUAAACUAUCAACACUAAACCCUAAACCCUAAAAAGUAAACUCUAAACCCUAAACCCUAAAAAAUUAACCAUAAACCCUAAAACAUCAACUCUAAACCCUAAACCCUAAACCCUAAAACCCUAGAGUUGAUGUUUUAAGGUUUAGAUUUGAAGGUUUAGGGUUUUUGGGUUUACUUUUAGGGUUAAGAGUUGAUGUUUUAAGGUUUAGAUUUGAAUGUUUAAGGUUUUAGGGUUUGAAUUUCAGAAAAACAUAGUGUUUAGGGUUUACGUUUAGAGUUGAUGUUUUAGGGUUUAGAGUUAGAGUUUAUGUUUCGGGGUUUAGGGUUUAGAGUUGAUGUUUUAGGGUUUAGAUUUGAAGGUUUAGGAUUUAGGGUUUAGGGUUACAGUUGAUGUUUCGGGGUUUAGGGUUUAGAGUUGAUGUUUUAAGGUUUAGAGUUUAGAGUUGAUGAUUUAGGGUUUAGAGUUGAUGUUUUAAGUUUAAAUUAGUUAACGAUAAGUUUUUUUUGUCAUAGUUAAUCAAAGGGUUAUAAAUGUCUUUUACUCUUCGUUAAAGAUAAUGAUAAAAGUGGUUAGUGUAAACAUAUGAAGUGGUACUUUGAAAAUACUAUUUUUGGCAAUUUUCCUUUAAAUCUUAAAUUUUUAAAUUUUUUCAUCUAUUUUUAAAAUGUAUUAAAAUAUAUAUUCUUCGGAUAACAACACAAAAUAUAUAAGAAUUAUCCUUUUUUUAAAAUACAUUAAUUUUUUUUGUCUCGUUAAUUAUGUUAUUACAAAUUAUGAGAAACAUUACAUAGACGAUAUUACAGCCGAAAAUUCUACCUGUUUUAUGAAGAUUCACGCCUGACUGCAUCAUUCUGAGUAGCCCUAUAAGAUCCAUUCCUGACGGUACUCCUUGCACCAUGCUGAAGAUCUCCUGUAAGCAUUUUCUCUAAUUUUUUGCAUAAUUCACAUUCUCUGGGAAUUGAAACCUAGACUCCUUCCUGUAGAAAUUGCGUUGUCUGGGGUUCGUACCCCAUACUUGGGUGUAGAAGACUUUAAACUUUGACCACCAUGUCUCAGUGCUUCCACAAAUACAUUAAUGUUUAGAGGUAACAAUGACUUUAACCGCUCUAACAAUUAUUUUAACCACUCUAAUUUUUAAUGUGAAAGCUCGAAUGCGGAAAAUUACUUCAUAAAAUAAUAGUUUAAAUAAUUAUAUAGAUAGACAUUGACAUAUUGUACAUGACGUGAGAUUACUGGAGAUAAAUGUGUAAACGUUCUUACAUAUAUAUUGAAACUUUCACAAGUUUCUAACACACUCGUACGUGUGUACAAUUUGUAAAUAUUAUUCAAUUUAGUUAGAAGGUCAAUUUUGUGGGAAACUUUCACACCUUUUAGGAGACGACAUCCGCAAGUUUCUAUGAAAUUUUAGUUAUUUCUUUUCAUAUAAUUUUAGGUGAUUGCGAUGAGAGGGAGGAUGGAAUAUGAGAAUGUGGUUGAGCUCAUGGAGCAAGGAGUCGAGCAAGUGAACUUCGUUGGAUGUUUAACUAAUUUGUUUAAGGACAUUGUCAUGGCUAUUGAAGAGAACGAUGAGAUCUUGAGAGGUCUAUGCGGAGAAGACGGUGUUGUUUAUGCUAUAUGUGAGUUGCAAGAGGAAUGUGAUUCUAGAGGUUCGUUGAUCUUGAAGAAGUACAUGGAGUUUAGGAAGCUAGCUAGGUUGGCUUCUGAUAUCAACAACUCUCCAAAUUUGAAUCUGCUUGCUGGUGGUGCUUCUGAAAGACCAGACCCGAGAGAAGUAGAGCUCUACGUGGAGGAGAUACUGUCUCUGAUGCAGUUAGGUGAGGAUUAUACAGAGUUCAUGGUGUCAAAGAUCAAGUCUUUGACGUCAGUUGAUGCUGAGUUGUUACCAAGAGCUACGAAAGCGUUUAGAAAUGGUAGCUUUAGCAAAGUGAUUCAGGACGUGACGGGAUUCUAUGUGAUACUAGAAGGGUUCUUUAUGGUUGAGAAUGUGAGGAAAGCCAUAAGGAUUGAUGAGCAUGUACCGGACAGCCUUACCACAUCAAUGGUGGACGAUGUGUUCUACGUGUUGCAGAGCUGUCUGAGGAGAGCCAUUUCGACUUCGAACAUUAGCUCUGUGAUUGCUGUGUUGAGCAAUGCUGGUAGCUUGUUGGCUAAUGAUUACCAUGAAACUUUGCAGCAGAAGAUUAGAGAGCCUAACCUUGGUGCUAGGUUGUUCUUAGGUGGUAUUGGUUGCAUCAAGACGAUGGUCGACUUAAAACCAAAUCUCGCUUACUAACUAACAUUAUAGAAGAGAGCAUCUUCAAGAUCACGAGUUCGAAUGCCAUAAAAAUAGCUACUUUUAAAUGCUUUCUUAUCUAAAACAUGAUGAGCUAAAAGCUCAUAGCUUCUUAAUUCCCUAAAAAAAGUUCUAACACAUUGCAUUACCAAUAAAUCAUCUUAAAUUUUUUUGUUAGUUGUACAAAUAAUUUUGUUCCUUUUAGUAAUUUGAAAACGUACUUGAAUUUUAUUCAUUUUAACUGAGCUGAUUAUAAACCUUCUCAAAAUUCAUUAUUUAUGGAUUUGGAAGUUCAUAAACAGGUAUAUAUAGUGGGUUUUAGCUCCAGAUAUACACAAAACAAGCAUCUAUACUCAAACUAUAUCAACAUUCAUUAUAUAGAUUAGGCGACAGAAAAACAUUCCUUAUAGAGUAUUAAAUUUUUUGAUAAAAAAAAGAUAAGACGAGAAACUUAUUUGGUUACAAGUCCCAGCAAUCAAUAAAAAGGAAUAAUAGAUGAUGAAAUUUCAAAUAUAUGGAAAAUAUAAUUAUAUUUUUUAUUUACAUGAAACUGGUUAAUGGAUGGUAUUCAAAUAAAAAUCAGAUUUCCGUUGUAUCUUAAACCUUGGCAUAAAUAUAAAUUUCAAUCAUUUCAGAAGACUCGACUAAAAAAAAACUUUCUCGGUCAAUCUCUUUGACCCUCAUUCUUAGAGAUAAAAUAGAUGAAUACAUUGGAGAUAGUCUAAGACAUGACCGACGUAAAUGAUCGACGUUGAAAUUUCAGCUUUUCUGAUUCUUACUAUUCUAAUGUUUCAAUAUAAUUUGAAUAUUCCUUUUGCUUUAUAAUAUAAUGGUUUGAAAGUCUUUUUUGUUUCACUAUAUAAAUUGUUUUUAUAUUUCAAUGUAACUUUAUAAUUAUUGGAUAUUGUGUAGCCAAUUAAAUUAUGUAAAUUACUGUGAAAUUGAUUAAAUUAAUAUAUUAAAUGACAGUUUUCUAAAGUAAUAACUUUUAAAUAUUACAUAUUCUAAUUAACUGAUUACAUUUUGAAACAAAUGGAGUAAUCUAUAAACUAACUUUAUAUAGAUAUGAGGACAAAAUUGUAAAAUGAUAUCACUUUGAAUUUUUCUCAUUCUGUGCAUUCCUAAUUGGAAGGAGAUAAUCAACAUUUAAUAUAAUGUUACCCUCAGUAUAUUAGAAAUGGUCGAACCGUAAACCAAUUAAGGAUGAUGUAAGGAAGACGUAAAGAUGUAUUUCCAGUUAUCACAAAUAUAGAAUCAAUUGACAACAACUUAAUUAUGUUCAUACUUUCUAAUAUUAUAAUAUCUCACCAUAUUAGUGGCUAAAUAAGUUUUCUCUAGCACAAAUACUCACUAUAUUCUUGGAGUUUAAGUUUUUCUAUCUUAUGAUAUUAGUAGUUUGCUCCAAAAAAAAGAAACGGUCGAACUGUACAUUGUAAUUGGAGAAAGAAAACAAACACACAUAAAAAUGAGACAUCAUAUUUGGAUAUAUUUAAAUAAAUAAUUUUAAAUAUAUUAUAUUCUUGAUAAUUUUAAAAUUACUUAAAAAGAAAAUAAAUUAUUAAAAAAUUAAUAUACAAAUAAAACUAAAUCAAUAUUUUGUAACGUCAAAAUAAUAAAUGAAUAAAAACUAUAUUAUGCUAAUAAAAUAGAUUUUAGAUCUUAAAGACUUUUAAUUUAUGUAAUAUUAAAAAAUUCAAAAUUUGUUUAUUACAAGUAAUAUUUUACCAUUAGAUAUAUUAAAAUAAUAUUCUAGAUCGAUAUUUAAUUAUCAGUUUUCAACUAUUACACGUAAAAAAUAUUAUUAAGUACGUUUUUUUUUUGAAAAGGGGGUUUUAUAUUUUAAGUAGGUUAUUGGAAUACUUUUUCUUUUCUUGAAUUUAUUCGAGAUGAGAUUCCGAUCUUUAAACUAAGAUAAUUUAUGUUCUACACAUAACUAUAUUUUUUACAUAAUUCUAAAAUCGCGGACUUGGUUCUUAAUAUUUUAUUAGUUAAUUGUGUUAUAUAUAAUAGAAAUACUUAUUUUAAACUAAAAAUAUAAAAAAAAUCAAAUUUAAAAUUAGUUAUAUAUAAUUUAUUAUACAAAAAUUCAUAUACAAAUAAAAAUGAUAAAUGUAACAAAUUUAAAUAUAUUAUCUGCGCGUAGCGCGGAGAAAUGAUCUAGUUAUAGUAAUAGGGGUUAAUCCUGCAUCAAUCUUAAAAUAUAAAUAUUUGCCUACCUAUUCUAAAACCUGGCAAGUUGGUUACUGAGAAUAUCACAAUAACAUAUAAGAAUGGUUCAAAGGGAACAAAUAUUAAUUAUUUCUUUUAGAAAAACUUUUUGUUAAGACUUGCACGUCAUACCUUUGCUGUUUACAUUAUUUUAUUACACAUUAAAUUGAACUAGCUAGCCCAAACGAAACUCAGUCUCUCGCUUCUUUUUUUCGAGAAAAAAAACACUUUUAACCACUGCACCAGGUCUCUAGCUUCUUAAUCUGUCUUCUCUUCAAUCUAUCUUUCUAUCUCACCCUGAUCAGCCAUGGGGGAAGAACCACUGCUUCAGAAACUCAGGAUUCAAGAAGACAUCGAAUCAGCCAAACACAAACUUGUUAACGACGACGUUGACGACGGUGAUGGUCCAGUCACUUUCAUUUUACUCUUCACAACCUUCACCGCUCUCUGCGGCACCUUCUCUUAUGGCACUGCCGUAAUUUUCUUCAUCUUCAUCUAUUUUUUUUUUUUUUUUGUGUGGUGGUUUUUCUGUUUCAUGUUAGAUUAAAUAUAGCUAGAAUGCUCAAUAAAGCUGGAAAACAAAAACUAAAAUCAACGUAAAUUUGAAAUGAAUAAUUUGUUCUUUAUAAAAAAAAUACUUUUUUUUAUUUUCAUACAGCAAAAGUAAAAUAAAAUUAGCAACAUAAACAAUGCUUUCUUCUUCUUUAUUAGACAAAAAAAAGCUUUCUUUCAUUCUUUUUUACUGAGCACGAAAGUUGGUUAAGAUUUAUGAGUAGGUCAUAUAUCAAAUCGUUAAUUAUUAGUUUUUGGAAGAUCAUUGUAGUCAUAUCGAACAACAGAAAUGCUUUUCUGUUUUUAUUUCUCUUGGAAUGUCCAAAUCAGGAGAAUGAUCUAUCAGGCUGUCACGAAAAGCGACAUAUACUUAUGAUAAAUAUAUAUCCACAUGAUUUUCUGGUCUUAUUUUAUUUUGGGAAGGCCGGCUUUACGUCACCAGCUCAAUCUGGGAUGAUGGCAGGACUAAACCUUUCUUUGGCUGAGGUCAGUGUUGAAUUGUUGAUUUUAUUUCCUGCAUACUAAUAUGAUUUUCAGUCCUCUUAAUAAUAAUUCUUUGUUAUCUAAUACAGAAGAUAAUUUAUGAGUAAAGGGACAUAUGUCAAAAAUGUAAUAACUAUUACAUAAUCGGAAUAUUAGUCAAACAUUCAAUAAGAAAAUACGAAUGCUUCUACCUUAACUUUUACACACCGUCUAACUUAACCACUAUACUACUGGGUUCAUCCGUUUGUAUUAAUUAGAGUUUCUACUUAAAAGUACAUGUCAAUGUCAUAGUAAUAUAGUUUUGCUCAGUUAUCAUUUAAAAAAAACGAAUAUAGCUGGUAAUAUACAAAUAAAAUUGUGUUAUCUUAUAGAAGAAAAAGGCAACUAAGCUAUUGUUCACUACAUGAAUGUAGUUCUCUUUCUUUGGAUCCAUAUUAACAAUUGGUGGACUUGUGGGAGCCGCGAUGUCCGGAAAACUCGCUGAUCUCCUUGGUCGGAGAGGCGUAAGUUUUUAAUCCAUUAUUAAAUUUUAUUUUAUCAUAAUGACUAAACUUACAAUUCAAUUACGUCAUUCUUUAUAAAUUCCAAUAAAAAUAAAUAGCGUCUUGAUAUAUGAGUACGCAGGCUUUAUGGGUUUCAAACUCGUUUUGCAUGACCGGCUGGCUUAUGAUCGCCUACUCUCAGGUUUCUAAAGAUCAUUCAACGUUCCUUUUAAGUUUUUUAGUACUAUGUUUUUAUAUGGUAUUAGUUUAACUGGUUCAAUGUUUUAAUUUUUACCAAUAUAACUUUGGUUUAUUACAACACCCCCAAUAUUGUACACAAAAAUAAUUCAGAUAAAAUUAGAAGAGUUAAUAUUGAUUGUUAACUGUUUCUAAUAAUAUGCUACAUACUAUUUAAGGCGGCUUGGUCCCUUGAUAUCGGAAGACUUUUUCUCGGCGUUGCAGCUGGUUUAUCUUGUUACGUGGUACGUAUAAUUUCAUUAGACUAUGACUAGGGUUAGUGACUUUCAGUCCAAGCAACAAAUAAGUUAGUUAUUAACUGCAAAUCCAAUCCCAAUGUACAGGUACCAGUCUACAUUGUAGAAAUCUCACCCAAACAAAUCAGAGGCGCGUUUACUGCGGUUAAUGCGGUAGUUUAUAUACGGUCCAUUGUUACUUUUUGCUCAUUUUAAUUAAUUAUUUUUAAAAAAACUUAAAAAAGAGAUUCUUUGAUCGUUUUUCUUCUUCUGCAGCUUGUGAUGUCUUCUAGCGUCUCCAUUACAUUCCUCGUUGGAUCAGCCACUUCAUGGAAAACAUUAGCUCUUAUAAGUACUCCCUCUGUUUUUAAAAGAUGCAUAUUCUAGACUUUUCACAUAUAUUAAGAAAACUCAUUAAAUAUGCAUUGUUUUUUGUGAAUAACAAUUUUCCAUAACUUUAAGCCAAUAGAAAUUCAAUAAACACUAUUAAUUUUUUUGAAACUUACAAUUUUUCAUAAAAUCAUACAUUGAAAAAGUAAAAAAUGUAUCUUUUUAAAACAAAUUUUUUUUCCAGAACAUACAUCUUUUAGGAACGGAGGGAGUAACAUAUAAUCUUGGAAUUUGCCAACAAAAAAAAUUACAUAUACUUUAUUUAAUUUUAACUCUGUUUUCUUAUGAUUCCAAGUAACCAAGUUGAUACAAAUGAAUUUUUUCCCAAACAAAUCAGAGGCGCGUUUACUGCGGUUAAUGCGGUAGUUUAUAUACGGUCCAUUGUUACUUUUUGCUCAUUUUAAUUAAUUAUUUUUAAAAAAACUUAAAAAAGAGAUUCUUUGAUCGUUUUUCUUCUUCUGCAGCUUGUGAUGUCUUCUAGCGUCUCCAUUACAUUCCUCGUUGGAUCAGCCACUUCAUGGAAAACAUUAGCUCUUAUAAGUACUCCCUCUGUUUUUAAAAGAUGCAUAUUCUAGACUUUUCACAUAUAUUAAGAAAACUCAUUAAAUAUGCAUUGUUUUUUGUGAAUAACAAUUUUCCAUAACUUUAAGCCAAUAGAAAUUCAAUAAACACUAUUAAUUUUUUUGAAACUUACAAUUUUUCAUAAAAUCAUACAUUGAAAAAGUAAAAAAUGUAUCUUUUUAAAACAAAUUUUUUUUCCAGAACAUACAUCUUUUAGGAACGGAGGGAGUAACAUAUAAUCUUGGAAUUUGCCAACAAAAAAAAUUACAUAUACUUUAUUUAAUUUUAACUCUGUUUUCUUAUGAUUCCAAGUAACCAAGUUGAUACAAAUGAAUUUUUUUUUUUUUUUCGUUUGGAAUUGUGCAGGUACGGUUCCUUGUGUUUUAGAAUUCGUUGGUUUAUUCUUUAUACCGGAGUCUCCUAGGUGGCUGGUAAUGAAUUAGUCUUAUACCUAUUGAUUAAAUUUUAACAUAUACAUAUACCAUAUUAAGAAACAGUAUUACAAGUAAAUCAAAUAAUUUAAGAGCUUAUUUUGUGUGAUUUAUAGUCUAGAAAUGGUCGGGUAAAAGAAUCGGUAGCUGCACUCCAACGUCUGCGAGGAAACAACACUAAUAUCACGAAAGAGGCUGCAGAAAUCAAAGUAGAAACAAAAUGUUUAUGAAACUCAAUUAGUAAAACAUAUUUCCUGACUGAAGUAUUUGAUUCCCAUAGUGAUAAUACUUCAAGUAUAUUUUCAGAUAUACAUGGAAAAUCUUCAAGAAGAAUUCAAAGAAGAUUGCUUUUUCGAGCUCUUCAAACCACGAUACUCUCGUGUUAUUAGUGUAAGAACUCGACUAAAAAUCUAGAGUUUAUGAAUAGAACUGAAUUAUCUGUAUCUUUUAGGUGGGAAUUGGAUUGCUAGUACUGCAACAAGUCGGAGGCCUCAGUGGCUAUACAUUUUACAUGAGCUCGAUAUUUCACAAAUCAGGUAUAUUCAGAAUUUAAACGAAGCAUCUGUAUGAAGUAUAAUAUAAUUAUCAAAUAAUGAUGAUAACAUACAAGUUAAUUGUCUGACAGGGUUUCCUAACAACAUAGGAGUAUCAAUAACGAGCGCGGUGCAGUUGGUGACAAGCAUUUUAGGAUUAAUAAUCGUGGAUAAAUAUGGGAGACGGUCCCUUCUAACGGUUAUACCUUAUUUUCAGUUAUUGAAACUAUAUAAUAUAUGGUGGAUAAAUUAGAAGUUAACACAGUUUUUGUUUAUGUGAAUUUCUCAUAUGCAGGUUGCGACGGUCAUGAUGUGCAUGGGGUCAUUAAUCACAGGACUAUCGUUUUUAUUUCAGGUUUUUAUUAGAAAAAUAAUCACAUUAGUUAAAUUAUAAGGUAUACAUUGGUUAAUGUAAAUUAUGUUUCUAUUUUUUACCAAUAUAAUUGAAGACAUCAAACCUUAUUUACAGAGCUAUGCUUUACUCAACAACUACACCCCAAUUUCAGCACUCAUUGGAGUGUUGGUACGUCCUACAUCCAAAAAUUAUAAAAAUCCGUCUUAUCUCUUUUUGUCAACUACAUUAUUAUAUUUUUUCCUUAAUAUAUUUACCGGCUUUUAUAGUAUUUUGUCAACCCUAAUUGCAGGUUUUUUUCGUUUCCAUCACAGUCGGAAUAGGAGGUAUUCCAUGGGUCAUGGUCUCCGAGGUAAUGUUUUGUCUUUAAAUGAUCGUGACCAGACUAUAACAAUAUAGUUCUGUAUCAAGAUGCACAAGAACAUUAUUGUAUGUCGAAUUCAAAAGCAUAAAAACAUGCAGAUGCUCUUAUAAAAAAAAACAUAUAGACGAGACUGCGUUAGAUUGAAUAAAACGUAAAUACAUUUCGAAAACAAGGAAACUGAGUUAUGAAUUGUAUUGUAUGUACUACUUCCGCAUAGUAUAGUUAUAUAUGUCAAACCAUGGAGAUUUGUUUUUCCUUGAAUUUUUUUAAUAUAUUCGAGAAUAUUAAUUAGGUAAUAUAAAGUUCUUUUUUUUUCAUUUUUUUUUUCACAGGUAAUAAGUUCAUUUAAUUCAAACUAUCCAUAUGACCUAACCAGUCGUUUUUAACAUAUUUUAUUGUUUUAUUUUGUGGGAAAUUUAGAUGACACCGAUAAAUGUAAAGGGAUCGGCAGGAACGCUAUGCAAUCUAACGAGCUGGUCCUGCAAUUGGUUCGUAUCCUACACAUUCAACUUUCUCUUCCAAUGGAGUACUUCUGGUAAUUUAUAUCGUUUUUCUUUCCAAUAAAUAACUAAUUCUAAUUUCACUUCUUAGCAAAAAAAAAAAAUUCUAAUUUCACUUAUUAAUAAUUUUCUACUUUUAUUACAGGUGUGUUUUUCAUAUAUUCACUAAUCUCUGGUUUGGGCAUUCUAUUUGUGCUGAAAAUGGUACCAGAGACUCGAGGUCGUUCACUCGAAGAAAUCCAAGCUGAUAUUACCCGAUAAUUUAAUUUGUACAUAGUAAUAUUUCUUUUUAUUUGGUAUCCAGUUCAUAUAGCUUCAUAAAUGGUCUCAGUUAUAAGUCAAUUCAAUCCUCGUCUGGCCAUAAUUAAAUAUGCAUAAUUUGCACAUAUACCACUAAACAAUUGGUUGGUUCUUUUUUUUUUGUAAGGUCGAUUGAUCCAGUUUAUGUAUGGUUCUUUUUUUUUGUAAGGUUGAUUGGUGCAUUUUUAUGUAUGGUGACAUAUAUUACAAGAUUAAUCUAUACUAUUAAAGUAGUAUCCUAUUUUAAAAAUUUAGGAUUCUGCCCUUAGAUUUUCAUCAUAUUUACAAAAAUAAUAGAGAUAUCCUAUAUUAAUGGUAACAAAUAAAUUUUAUUUGCAAACCAAAACAAAACAAUAAAUAUUAAUUAACUAUUAGCAUUUAUUUUCCGUAAAACUUUAUCAUACCCAUAACAAUUCUUUUUUCGGCCAGAUUUUUUUGUUUUGAAUAAUUAGAUAUUUCUAAUCAUAUUAAUUAUAUUUAAUUUUGUGGGUAAUAAAUAAAUUAAACUAAUAUAAUUUAUUUAUGAGAUACAAAUGAAUUGAUGUGUUUUUUUUGUAGUGUAUUUUCCUAAUUCUGAGAAAUAACAAAAUCAUAAAAUUUCCUUUUUACAAUUUUUAUAGUUGAGUUUUAUAUGGUUGAAACAAAUAUAUGCAUCUCAGUAAAUAAGUAAAUAAAUAAUUACUAAAAGUUAAAAUCUGCAAAGAAAAAAAAGAUCUGCAAAGAAUAAUAUUAAAAUAUGUAAUGAGAAAUAUCUUUCAUUUUUUUCAACUUAUAUAGUAGUGUUUUUAUAUAAUUGGAACAAAUAUAUGCAUCUAAAUAAUUUAAUAAAAUAUUAUCAUUGAAAAUAAAAGGUGCAAAAAAAUAUUAAAUUAUGUAAUGAGAAAAUAUCUUUAGUAUAUAAAUAUACUACUUUAGAAUAAAUUAAAAUUAAUACAAUAUUUUUUCUAAAAAAUUAACUUCUUUAAAAAUAAUUUCAUAAAUGUAAAUAUAAUUUUUUAUAGCAUAUCUAAUAUCUAUAGUUAUAAAAUAAACAAUCAAUAAAUUUUUAAUGUAUAUAGUUAUCAUAUAUAAAAACACAUAAUCUUAUAAUUAAAAAAUUUAUAGAAUUUUAAAAGAAAAUUUAAAAGCGCGGAUCAAAAUCUAGUUAAAAGUUAAAUCGCAUUACAUUACUUAUUAGAUGUUGCUAUAUAAAGUCGAACCAAUACAAAGUUUGUAUAUUUAUGUAUUUAGGGUACCUUCUAUUUUUUUUUGUCAUCAUCAUUUUAAUAUCGGUCGACUGUGAUUCAUAAGUAUCAGAAAAAUAUGAGUUGUUGCUAUUUAAUGUUCGUUCGUUUUCAGAUAUAUACUUAUAGUACUUUUUUCUAUUUCCAGUUCCUUUGUGAGCUGUCAGACAUUAGUAUUAGCAGGUCCAACAACCGUUUCUAGCUUGGGUUUUUUUUUCAAAAGAAAAAAAUAAUAAUGAAAAAGAACCUAAAAAGAGAAGAUUGGAUCUUCAGGUGUCAUUUGACAACUUCUGAUUGGUUUAUUCUUCAAAGAAGAAAUAAAUUUUAAUUCCAAAACUCCACAUGAUUAAAUUAUUAUUUUUGACAUUAGAACCUGUUUUAAAAUAGGAAAAUUUAGAAGAUAGGACAACUUUCAAGUUUGAAUUAGAAAUUUGGGCAAGCCCAUGUUUUAAUUAGGUUGUUGGGCAAUCUAGUAUGAGAGAGAAGAAAAAGUGGACAGUUUUAACCUUUUUGCCCAACAAUUUUGAGCUGAAAUUCGUGGGACCAAGCUGUCUUUUGCCCAGAAAAAUUUGCCUCUGGAAAACCGACACACGCGCGCCGGAUGUGCGUGUAAGAGACGAUUUUAAUAUUAUGUUAUUUUAAUUUCAGAAGGAAACAUGGUAUUGGGCUUCGUUUUUGGGCUAUUUGACCCCAAAACUUGAAAGCCUUAUAUGUGAUGAUUUCUCGCGAGAAACAACGGCUCCAAGGUGGACGAAUGGCCAUUAAUGACUGGUGACUUUGGAAAACAUGUGUUUUACUUUAAUUUAUUAAUUAAAAACAGGGCAAAUAUUAAUUAUUUAAUACAAAAACGUACGAACCCUAUCUCUUUGUCUGUCUCCUUGUUGAUGAGUAAAAAAGGCUACCGAACUCGGGAACUUGAGGCAGCGAAUUUUACACACAGAGGCAUGAGCUGCAUCCGAUAUGGUGAGGGAGGAAAGGGUAUGGCGGAUGGUGGGUGUUCUGUAUCUAGCAUCGAAGGUAAAUCAUAUAUAAGCCGUACACCAUUGCAUUUAUGACAUUAUAGUUAUGGCUGAAAUCAUUUAUUACAGAUUUGAGGGUGUGAUGCUGCGUUAGGGGAAGGCGAAGAUGACGACGAUGAGGAUUAUGAUUACAAUUUAUGGCAUGAUUUUGUUGGACGAAAUUGCGAAUGGGACGAUGAUAAGGAUGAGGAUGGAGGGGUAGGUGGUGGUGGUCGAACGAACGUAACAUAUGGAGGUGUACGUGGUGAGGUGGUGACUAAAACGAGGAGUGGACGAACUAAUCCUUCUUCAAACAAAGGCAGUGGUUCAUCUACAAACAAACAGCGUACCGCAAACCCACCAUCAACUUUUGAAGAUUACGUAGAUGAGGGUAGAGAUUACAUAGGCUCAUCUAGGAUUUCGAUGGAGAAUAUUGAAGAAGCAAGUAACAAUUUAGGUGUCAAGUCAAGUGAUCAAGUGGCCGACACUGAGAAUCAUUCAGAUCCAAAUCAAGAAGAGGACCCAAGUUUGGACAACAGCUCCCAAAUGUUGGUUCUCCAGACUCCUCCAAAGCCGUUCAACAUGCAUACUCGGGAAGUUGACGACAGUGAUGAUUUCGUUGGGCAGGUCCCUCAAUGCGUUUCGUCUAGACCGACACAUGAUACAUCUGAUGGAGAAGACGAGGAUGACGACUUUGUCGAACCGGUACCUCAGUGUGUUUCGGGUGGUCAGACACAUGAAACCCUGGUUGGAGAAGACGAGGAUGACGACUUUAUCGAACCGGUACCUCAGUCUCGAAGCCGUGAGGAAGACGCAAGAAGACGUCGUGAAAAGGAUAAGGCUGAUGACGAAUCACUCAUGAAAUCCGUUAGAGCCGUUGAGCUAUAUGGAUUUGAGGAUGUAGAAGCUUCGUCUAACAACGAAGCAGUUAACGAUUAUACCGUCGAUGAUAUUGACUUCACUCUAGCAGAUGCUGAUAUGUACACUGGGAAGCUAUUCAGUAGCAAGCAAGAAUUCAAGAUCAGUUUGCACAUUUAUGCCUUAAAGCAGGUGUUCAGGUUCAAGUUCCACAAACAUGCGUUUAACUACGUCGCAGCGAAAUGCAUUGAUAAAAACUGCAAAUUUUAUGUUAUGGCUAAGCAAUUGGGGGAAUCUUCGACAUAUCAGGUGAGGAAGGCGCAACUGAAGCAUGUCUGCACAUCUGAUGCUAAAGCGCAAUAUAAGAAACAUGCGACGUCGAAAGUAAUAGCUGCACUAAUGAGAUCGAAGUAUGAAAGGCUCCAAGCUGGACCGCGCGCAUCUGAAUUACCCGAGAUGCUCCGGAGUGAGUUCUUGUUUACGGCCACAUAUUGGAAAUGUUGGAAAGCAAAAGAGUUAGCAACUGUGGCUGCACAAGGAACAGAAGAGAGCUCUUACAAGCUCCUGCCGAAAUAUUUUUAUGUUGUAAAGUAUGCAAAUCCUGGGUCCAUUACUAAUAUCAAAACUGAAAAAGAUGAUAAGGGUCAGACAAGGUUUAAGUACGCGUUCAUGGCGCUGAAAGCUUGCAUUGACGGGUGGAAGCAUCUACGGAAGGUUAUUGUGGUGGAUGGUACUCAUAUGUUUGGGAAGUACAAAGGGUGUUUACUAACUGCAAGUGGGCAAGAUGCCAAUUUUCAGGUAUUCCCUAUAGCGUUUGCUGUUGUAGACAAUGAAACAAACGAGUCUUGGAGUUGGUUUUUUGAGAAGCUGACAGAGAUCGUAGAAGAUGGCUCCGAUUUAUCUAUUGUGUCUGAUAGAGCAAAUCAAAUAUGUGUUGCUAAAGAUAAGUGGUAUCCUCUUUCACACCAUGGGUGCUGCCUCGUACACCUACAGAGAAACGUCGACGCAAAAUUCAAGAAAAGGAAUCAGAAGCAAAUGGUUGGCAGGGCAGCCGAGGUAUUCAAGGUAUCCCACUUUAAGAGACUUUACGCGGAGAUCAAACUUACAGAUAAGCGCUGUUGGGAUUAUCUUGAGAAGAUCGAUCCUAGACAUUGGACAAGGUCACACUUUGAGGGCGAGCGGUACAAUCUAAUGAGCUCGAAUAUAGCUGAGUCUCUCAACAAAGCACUAGUUCCUGCGCGCGAUUCCCCGAUAAUGGCGCUAUUUGAGUUCAUCAGACGCAUGAUUAGUCGUUGGUUUGUGAGUAGACAGCGAAAGAUAUCGAAAAUGAGUGGUGAGAUCCCCCCGGCUGUUGACGAGUUGAUGGAGAACAAUCUAGAAGACGCAAGAGCGUACGCUGUGAUGCCUCUGUCUGCUUUUGAAUUUGAGGUAACUCUAAAAACAACCGGCUUCGGGAGUUCUGUUAAUUUGGAAACCAGGUCUUGCACAUGUCUUGAAUUCCAGAAAGUUGGAAUACCAUGUCGACAUGCCAUUGCUGCGGCUAUGUUUCGGGACUUGCAGCACUCAGAGUUCGUUGCAGACGCCUAUCUAAAAAAGACAUGGAAUGAAACAACAAAGGGUGUUACACUCCCGGUUCCAGAUCCGCAAGAUCUUUUCAUACCUUCGGAGGUUAGUGACCUUAUCAUGUUACCACCAAAGACGAAGAGACCACCAGGACGUCCACCGACCAAGCGUAAACGUUCUGCAGGAGAAAUACCGGUACGACCUAAUCUCAUCUGACUGUAGUCAUGGAUAUUUUCUGAAUAAAGGCUGUUAUGUUUUUUUCAGGAGGGGCCGAAGAAGAAGAAACUAAACACAUGUAGUCGAUGUCAUAUCUCAGGUCACAACAAAAAGUCUUGUAAAGAACCGCUACAAUGAUGGCUUAUGGAUGGAGGAGAUUUUAUGUAUUGUUGACAAGAGAGUUCUUGUUUUUUGGAAAUUUAAUAUGGUUUACAACACAUCUAUAAUGCUAUUUUGCGAUAUGUUUUACGCAGAGCUUCUUCUUGAAUUUAUUAGAUAUGUAUGGUUUUAUUGUCAUUCCUUAAUAUGGUUUACAACUUGUUUACAACUUGAGGUAAACAUAGUUGAAGAUUUGAUGACUUUUGAUUUGAUGUAACUUGUUUACAACUUGAGGUGUACGAUAUCUGUGUAGCCAAUCUAGCCGUUAGAAAGACAUUUAAAUACAAUGUAGCCGUUGUAUUGUAAUCCAAUAAUAAUAUAGCCGUUACAAUCUCAAUCUAUUUAAGUAUGAGUGCUUGUGUCGUCUAUAUUUCAGAUUUUUUGUGAUUCUCUCUUUACUCUCAAUUUUAUACUAAAGAUGGGACUUGAUUAUAGCUAUAGCCAGCCUUCGGAAUCAGAGGACUAUGAUGGGCAUGACUCCAGCGACACAGAAGACCGUGAAGUUGAAGAUCUUAUUUGUCGGGACCAAUCUGAUCUAAAUUACAAUUAUGCUUCGACGGUUCAGUACCCUCCGCAACCCGAGGUCGAAUUUGGAUUCCCGCAGACAUGCUACUGUGGUGGUCGGCCUAAGCUAGCAACAUCUCGCACUGUAAAUGAUCCAGGUAGAAGAUACUACACGUGUGAUAAUGUUAAUGAUGGAGACUGUCAUGUUCAUAAAUGGUGGGAUGAUGCGGUUAUGGGGGAGAUGAGAGCCAGGGAUACGCACACACUUCAAUUGUCUGAAAAGGUAGAAUAUCUAACCUUUUUGAAUGACUAAGACCCACAACUUAACAAGUUGAAGGAACUCCAGAAUGAGACUGAGCAGAAACUGGUUAGGCUAGAGAAGGUAGUGUCUGAGUUAGCUGAAAAGAGAACAAGGUUAACCAAUGGCUUCAAAUACUUUGUUGGUGGAAUGGUUAUUAUAUUAGUUUUACUUGGGUUUGUGAUCAUAUUCAAGUAACUCUUUAUUUUGUAAUGUAAUAAAUCGGAUGAGUAAUGAACUCUUGAUGUGGUUUUUUGUAAUGUGUCAUUUUUUAUGAUUCUACUAAAAUUCUAUGAACCAAGAGCUCUUACAAGCUCCUGCCGAAAUAUUUUUAUGUUGUAAAGUAUGCAAAUCCUGGGUCCAUUACUGAUAUCAAAACUGAAAAAGAUGAUAAGGGUCAGACAAGGUUUAAGUACGCGUUCAUGGCGCUGAAAGCUUGCAUUGACGGGUGGAAGCAUCUACGGAAGGUUAUUGUGGUGGAUGGUACUCAUAUGUUUGGGAAGUACAAAGGGUGUUUACUAACUGCAAGUGGGCAAGAUGCCAAUUAUCAGGUAUUCCCUAUAGCGUUUGCUGUUGUAGACAAUGAAACAAAUGAGUCUUGGAGUUGGUUUUUUGAGAAGCUGAAAGAGAUCGUAGAAGAUGGCUCCGAUUUAGCUAUCGUGUCUGAUAGAGCAAGUCAAAUAUGUGUUGCUAAAGAUAAGUGGUAUCCUCUUUCACACCAUGGGUGCUGCCUCGUACACCUACAGAGAAACGUCGACGCAAAAUUCAAGAAAAGGAAUCAGAAGCAAAUGGUUGGCAGGGCAGCAGAGGUAUUCAAGGUAACUCACUUUAAGAGACUUUACGCGGAGAUCAAACUUACAGAUAAGCGCUGUUGGGAUUAUCUUGAGAAGAUCGAUUCUAGGCAUUGGACAAGGUCACACUUUGAGGGCGAGCGGUACAAUCUAAUGAGCUCGAAUAUAGCUGAGUCUCUCAACAAAGCACUAGUUCCUGCGCGCGAUUCCCCGAUAAUGGCGUGAUUUGAGUUCAUCAGACGCAUGAUUAGUCGUUGGUUUGUGAGUAGACAGCGAAAGAUAUCAAAAAUGAGUGGUGAGAUCCCCCCGGCUGUUGACGAGUUGAUGGAGGACAAUCUAGAAGACGCAAGAGCGUACGCUGUGAUGCCUCUGUCUGCUUUUGAAUUUGAGGUAACUCUAAAAACAACCGGCUUCGGGAGUUCUGUUAAUUUGGAAACCAGGUCUUGCACAUGUCUUGAAUUCCAGAAGGUUUGAAUACCAUGUCGACAUGCCAUUGCUGCGGCUAUGUUUCGGGACUUGAAGCACUCAGAGUUCGUUGCAGACGCCUAUCUAAAAAAGACAUGGAAUGAAACAACAAAGGGUGUUACACUCCCGGUUCCAGAUCCGCAAGAUAUUUUCAUACAUUCGGAGGUUAGUGACCAUAUCAUGUUACCACCAAAGACGAAGAGACCACCAGGACGUCCACCGACCAAGCGUAAACGUUCUGCAGGAGAAAUACCGGUACGACCUAAUCUCAUCUGACUGUAGUCAUGGAUAUUUUCUGAAUAAAGGCUGUUAUGUUUUUUUCAGGAGGGGCCGAAGAAGAAAAAACUAAACACAUGUAGUCGAUGUCAUAUCUCAGGUCACAACAAAAAGUCUUGUAAAGAACCGCUACAAUGACGGGUUAUGGAUGGAGGAGAUUUUAUGUAUUGUUGACAAGGGAGUUAUUGUUUAGGUGUUUCCUAAUAACACAUCUAUAAUGCUAUUUUGCGAACUGAUGAGAUAUGGAUUACGCAGUGCUUCUUCUUGAAUUUAUUAGAUAUGUAUGGUUUUAUUGUCAUUCCUAAAUAUGGUGUUCAUGUUUAUGAUUUGAUGUAACUUGUUUAUAACUUGAGGUGUACGAUAUCUGUGUAGCCAAUCUAGCCGUUAGAAAGACAUUUAAAUACAAUGUAGCCGUUGUAUUGUGGUCCAAUAAUAAUAUAGCCGUUACAAUCUCAAUCUAUUUAAGUAUGACUGCUUGUGUCGUCUAUAUUUCAGAUUUUUANNNNNNNNNNNNNNNNNNNNNNNNNNNNNNNNNNNNNNNNNNNNNNNNNNCGUUUUUCCGUUGAAACUGUAACUGACAAGCCCUCCCGACGGUCUGGAAACUGAUGAGUUCGCCACAGUCGAGGCCCUGUUCGAGGAGGCGGAGGAAGUCGAGGAGGGGUUAAAGGAAACACCUCCAUCCACCCCUCGCAAACGGCGCUGCACAAGCCCCGACCCCCGCAGUAGCAAACGUGCUCGCAAGGCGGAGAAAAAAGGUGACCCGGAGGAUGAGGGUUACGGAUAUGACGGCGAAGGAGCGUCGGGGUUUAAGGACGAUGAAGAAGGUGAAUACUGGGAGUGGAUGCAGAUGGAGACGGACGUGGAUGACGACGCGUCCGACAGGACCGGCGACACGUUGGGUUCUGGGCAGUUCAGGAUGGACAACUACCCAGACAGCUCCGGCACCGACUCCAGCACCUCCGACUCCGACUAGGAACCUCCUCCUCUUUUAAUAUUAUUAUAUAUUUUGAAUUUUAGUGUUUUUUUGUAAUUAUUUUGAACUCUCUUUUUUUCGAACUCUUUAUUAUAUUUUAUUUAUAAUAUAGUUUAUGAUUUCUGUUUAUUAUUGCUGUCUUUUAUUGCAUGUUUAAUAUUGGUAAAAUUAGGAUACGAAUACUUAAGGUCUACGAAUACUGAAGGUAUUCGAAUACCUUCAGUAUUCGAAUACUGACGGUAUACGAAUACUUAAGGUCUACGAAUAAUUCCAUUAAUGGGCUUAAUGACCAUGGGUUAACCAAGAACAAACCCAAAUGGUCUGACCUUUAGAUGGGUCCAAAAUUUAAAGUUGUGAAAUUGGACUGAAACCUAUUAAGUCCAAAUCAGAUGGGCUAAAACCAUUUGUGAAAUGUUAUGGUUCUAUUUUGGGUUUGGACAAUUUGGACUACGUACAAUUUGGACAUACCCAUUGGACAUGGACAGCCCAUUAUAUUUUAUAAUAUAGUAUAUGAUUUCUGUUUAAUGUAUGAACUUAAGGUAUUCUCAUCUCUCUCUUCGUUGGUGUACGAACACGCGUACACUUAUGGUUUUAACACGAAAAUAAAUUUAAGUAAACUCUUUCUGCGACAAUAAAGUUUCCUACUUUAUUUCGUAUGGUCAAAUCAGUCGGAGAUUAAAUUCUACGGAGGAGUCGCAACGAUUUAAUUCGCAUGGUUUAAACCGAAGAGUAGUAAUGGAACGCCGCGUCUGUUACCAAAAAAUUAAUUAAUUAUUUUCGUAAUAUAUAUACUACUCAGUUGACAUUUAAUAUUUUUUCAUCUUUCUAAACAUAUUCUCUGCAAACCUCUUUCUCUGCAAACCUCUUUCAUUCCAAAAAUGGUUUAUGAUAUCAGCCAGGGCAAAAUGACCGUCGCAAAAUACAAGCGAUUCUUUUACAGUUUGCCUAUAGUCGGCGAACGCACCGAGCAGCAGUUGAUCGAGUUGGCCAAGGCCGGAUUGAAGGAAGAGAUCCGCUACGGUCUGGAAACUAAUGAGUUCGCCACAGUCGAGGCCCUGUUCGAGGAGGCGGAGGAAGUGGAGGAGGGAUUAAAGGAAACACCCCCAUCCACCCCUCGCAAACGGCGCCGCACAAGCCCCGAUCCCCGCAGUAGCAAACGUGCUCGCAAGGCGGAGAAAAAAGGUGACCCGGAGGAUGAGGGUUACGGAUAUGACGGCGAAGGAGCGUUGGGGUUUAAGGACGAUGAAGAAGGUGAAUACUGGGAGUGGAUGCAGAUGGAGACGGACGUGGAUGACGACGCGUCCGACAGGACCGACGACACGUUGGGUUCUGGGCAGUUCAGGAUGGACAACUACCCAGACAGCUCCGGCACCGACUCCAGCACCUCCGACUCCGACUAGGAACCUCCUCCUCUUUUAAUAUUAUUAAAUAUUUUGAAUUUUAGUGUUUUUUUGUAAUUAUUUUGAACUCUUUUUUUUCGAACUCUUUAUUAUAUUUUAUAAUAUAGUUUAUGAUUUCUGUUUAUUAUUGCUGUCUUUUAUUGCAUGUUUAAUAUUGGUAAAAUUAGGAUACGAAUACUUAAGGUCUACGAAUACUGAAGGUAUUCGAAUACCUUCAGUAUUCGAAUACUGACGGUAUACGAAUACUUAAGGUCUACGAAUAAUUCCAUUAAUGGGCUUAAUGACCAUGGGUUAACCAAGACCAACCCCAAAUGGUCUGACCUUUAGAUGGGUCCAAAAUUUAAAGUUGUGAAAUUGGACUGAAACCUAUUAAGUCCAAAUCAGAUGGGCUAAAACCAUUUGUGAAAUGUUAUGGUUCUAUUUUGGGUUUGGACAAUUUGGACUACGUACAAUUUGGACAUACCCAUUGGACAUGGACAGCCCAUUAUAUUUUAUAAUAUAGUAUAUGAUUUCUGUUUAUUAAAGCUGUCUUUUUAUGCAUGUUUAAUAUUGGUAAAAUUAAGAUACGAAUACUGACGGUAUACGAAUACUUAAGGUCUACGAAUACUGAAGGUAUUCGAAUACUGACGGUAACUUUCUGUUGCCAGCACUGACACAUUUGAGAUGAAACUCCCGGAACUGACAACCUUGGCGUAUUUGACAUGUGACGAACCCGUCCUCCAUUUCACUAACAUCGCACUUCUUCAAGACUGAGGGCUCGUGUGCGAGGGCGUAACCGCGUUUUCCAGCCCGCAGAAAAGGGCCAAGAUUGUAAAAUGAUUCCUCUCCGACAAGCUCAAUGAUUUUGCACACAAUUUCCUGGGGAAGAUUUGGGAGUACGUGAGCUUCCAUACUAUUGGGGUUACUUGUUGGAGUUUUUUUGUGGUCUGUUUUAUGGUUGGUAUGAGAGGGAUUAUAGAAAUUUAAUAGACAGGUUUGUAGAGAAAACGUGUGAGGUUAAUACGAGAAUUUAUUGUCCCACCUACAUUUGAAACCUAACACUGUCAAAUCAUGGUUUAAAGGGUUAAUAAAAAAUUCAUUAUUUCGUUUGUCUCGGUAUAGGUUCAAUGCGUCUCUUCAAUAUAAUGACUUAUACGGGCGUGACCAUCGUAAAUAGACAACCCUUCGCUUGCCGCCGUCCACUCACUAUAAAAACUGAAUUUUGGACAUCAUUAGCACAACGCUGAAAACACAAUCUGGCUAUAAUGGCAGAGAUGACUUUUCUAGAUCUCCCUUCCGAAAUCCAACAAUUGAUUGUCUCCUGCGUCGCAAAAAAUUCCUUUCAAGAUCUGUAUAGACUCAGAUCUACUUGUAAGUCAAUGCGUGCGCUGGCAGACACGUCUGACGUCUAUUCUUCGUUUGAUCUGUAUAAAUACCCUUGGUGGACAGGCUUGCGUAAUACGUUGUUGAAAAGAUGCUACAAUGUCGGAAACCCAAGUACUCUUUACAUCAAGGGUGUUGAGUAUUUCUACGCCCUACAACGCCACGAAGAAAGUCUUGCUUUGAUGAAGAGAGCAGCGGAUGCUAGAUACGAACGAGGGUUGUAUACCUAUGCAAUGACUCGCAAACUCUACUCGGAUGAUGAGGAAUACUUCGCUAGGUUUACGAGAGAAGCAGUUGGUACAAUUGGAUGGCUUGUUAGAAUGGAUGAUGUUCCGUGGGUGCCGGUCGUUAACGAGUGGUUCUUAACAAAGAAGUUCAUGUUCAUGUCAACAGAUCGACCUUUGUUUUAUAAUUGCCCCUGUUCACCUACGUUGAAUUUCGAUUGGGAUCUGUGGCACAUGGAAUUAAGCAAGACAGAAGACAUGUGUAACCGAUGCUUCUGGAUAAAAGAGGUUGGUCUUUUCCUCCGGGAUUUUCGUUGCGCCACGAGUUUUGCGCCCUUCGACAGUUGGCAGUAAUUAUUAUUUGUUGUAAUGCAUUUACCACAUUAAGCAUUGUUCUAAUUCCGUUGUCGAGUAUAACAUUAGCUGUUAUUUUGGAAAGUGACGUAUACCAUCAAAACUAGGAGACAAACUCCAACAUCGGUUUAUCGUUUCUUUACUCAUACAGUUAUCAUGAAAACAUAAGACUCGGUGUACAAAAACUGACGGUAUUCAAAAAAUGACGGUAUUCGAAUACUGACGGUAUUCGAAUACUGACGGUAUACGAAUACUGACAGUAUACGAAUACUUAAGGUAUACGGAUAUUUACAGUAUACGAGAGCCCAAAAUUUAAAGUUGUCCAAUUGGACUGAAACCUAUUAAGUCCUAAACCCUAAACCCUAUACCCUAAACCCUAAACCCUAAAUAUAUAAGAAAGACGAUGUAAAACCAUCAAAGAUAAACUGAUCUGUUUGAAUUAUAGUGUCUGGAUGAAUGGAAAGAUACAAUAACCGUUUAACAAUUCGGUUUAACAAACGAAAU
rnacentral:lncRNA from 1 species